GCCUUUAUAGCUCAAUGACAGAGCGUUUUCUUGGUAAGAAAGAGACUAUGGGUUCAAGUCCCAUUAAAGGCU
rnacentral:tRNA from 1 species